rnacentral:rRNA from 1 species
AACGAACGCUGGCGGCGCGCUUAACACAUGCAAGUCGAACGAGAAGGCGUAGCAAUACGCUUGUACAGUGGCGAACGGGUGAGUAAUACGUGGGCGACCUACCCUCGAGUGGGGAAUAACCCGCCGAAAGGCGGGCUAAUGCCGCGUACGCUUCCAUCUUUAUGGAGGUGGAAGGAAAGCCGUGCCGUGGGCACGGCGCUCAAGGAUGGGCUCACGUCCUAUCAGCUUGUUGGAGGGUAACGGCCUACCAAGGCUCCGACGGGUAGCUGGUCUGAGAGGACGAUCAGCCACACUGGCACUGCGACACGGGCCAGACUCCUACGGGAGGCAGCAGUGAGGAAUAUUGCGCAAUGGGCGAAAGCCUGACGCAGCGACGCCGCGUGGGGGAUGAAGGUCUUCGGAUUGUAAACCCCUUUCGGG